GCUCCCAGGAAACACAGCUCUGAAAACAGGCUGCCUUUACAGAUGGCUUGGGAAUUUGUUGAAAAUUCAUUUUAAUUUGAAAGUUCUGGUGUGUGAGAAGAGCUCACUUUCUGCAUACUUCUGCUGAAUAACAAAUCCCAGAAAAUCACCUGCUUUUCCUGUCAAAACUAUCAAACCAGGAGCCACCACCAUCUAGAAGCUCACUUGGAAAUAGCUCCAGAGCCAGGAUUUGCACUUUCUUCUUCUGGGGAGCCUCUAUUUCACCUCUGAGAGCAGUCAGAGGAGGGUGAAGGGCAUCAGGGAGCAAGAAGGGUGUCACUGCAGGGGUGAAGGGAGGUGACAUGCACAAGUAAUCAGAUGGUAUUGCAGCCACGGUCCUUGGUUGGGGGACACAGAGAGAAGAGAUGGACUUGAGAGAGACCCUCUAGCCUGCUUUAAACUGAAAGAGGAACAAGGUGCUUCUCCUAUAACUUCUGCAGAUGCGGUGCCAUGGUUUCAGAUAAAUCUGCACACUUUUAAUUUUCAAGUGGAUUCACAGAAAUACAAGACUUCAAAGGACGUCUUCCACAAACCAUGUCCAGAGUGCCUGCUAUAUGAAAAAGAAGGGAGAUCCUUGGAAACCAUAUGCAGAAGGCCUGAACCAAGCUAAAAGUGCAGAGAAAGACCAGACAGCCUAGGAGCAGCUCCGAUCUCCUUUCUCUGUGCCAAGCACACUCUAGGACAGGUUGAUGCCAGCUGCACGUCUAAGCUAUAGCCAUCACUCUAUUGUAUUUCCAACGAGGAGCAAACACAUGGAGAGAUGGAAAUCGGGUGAGUAGAGAAGAGUCUGAUGUGGCAGAGGACAUUCAGGGACCUACUUAUUUCCAGUCCCAGCAUUCCAUGAAGAAGCUCUGCUGCCCAGUGGCGGAUUCCUAUCCCUUAACUUCUAUGAUCCAAGUCCGCUCCACAACCAGCUUUUUCAUAAUUCCUGUUAAUCCAGCAUAUUUUGGGGAGUUUUAAGGCACAGUUUUUGCUUGUUUGCUUUGGGCUUGGAGCACAUGCAGUUUACUCAUGUGCUCUGGCAAGAGCCCGGAGUUGCGCGUGAUCCCGAGCUAAGCAAAGCACGGCUGUGUCUGCAGUGCCUGUCCUGGGGACAAGAGCAAGUGCAAGGAGCCUCUCUGGCAGGAAUGCAUGAGCCUGAUAUGUGAUAGCCUUCAACAACUGUGAAAGAAGGAUUGAUGGACUUGCCAUAAUUCACAGAAUGGGGGAGCUUGGGCAGGAGGAGGACUUGUGCUUCUAGGAACAGGCAAGCAAAGUGCUCCAUCACGGGCAAGGCAAGCCAGCCACACCAGGCACUCCUGCCCUGCCACAGGCACGAGCCCCCAGCGCUCAUCAGAGUAACAGGCAAAAGUUGCCUCACUUCCAGCUUCACUGCUAUACUGGUCCUUACAAAAUUAGCCAAUGUGCUUGCCCCUGAAAUUGAAGAGAGGCAGAGGGUUUUACAAGUCCUUUCCUCCACUCCUACACCAUAACUGACAGCAAAUAGUGUGAACACCUCUUACACAUGAGACUUUUAAAGCCCCAUAGCUACUCUAGCUCCCUACCCUAUUGUUCCAGUGCCUUUGCAGAUUUUAUAUGAAACCCCAGAAAACAGAUAGAAAAAUCCUUUCUUCCCCUUUUACUAAUCCAAGUUGCUAACUUAAAAAAAAAAAAAAAAAGAAAAGCUUAUUUCAUAGAAGCUAGAAAUACUAGCAGGUUUUCAGUUGAUAAUGAAUAUCCUUUAAAGAACAAAGGAAGCCGAAUAAUGGAGCCUGGAGCCUGUCACAUGUAAUUCUUGUUAGUAAUAAUUUCUGUUAGCUGUUCAGGAAAGUGCAGUUCUCAAUUUCAGAGGAUAAAUGACUUAACCAGACUUUUUAUGAGGACACGAUAUCUAGCAACUCUGACUGCAAAACAAUGUAAGUUUCUAGAGGCAAAGCAUUGGCUGCUGCUUGUUGUCGAUCAGUAACAAUUCAGGAGCUUUUAUAAAAUGCAGAUGUGAUCUCAGUUCUUUCUCUAGGAAACAAAAACAAUGGAGUUUCAGCCUGGCCUGAUUAGCAAAUAAUGAGUGCUGCCAUCCUAUCAACAUAAGUUUGCCUUCUCUAGUGAAGCUCUUAAAUCACACAAAAACACCUUCAGAAGCAACUAAGGGUAUCAGAGGAAAUUUCUAGACCUGCUGGAAUCAAGACUGGGGCAGAUCCAUCUUAGUGGCUUUCCCCAGACUGUCAGAAAGGCAAAGACAGGCUGCAACCAGGCCUGAAUGGACCCAUUCUCCUCAGCCAGCUCUGAAGACUUGAGGCAAAGCUCAUCUCAGUCUGUACAGCAAACUCUGUGAUGGUAGUGGGGCUUCAGUGGACAAAACUGGCAUGAAACUGAUGCAGUUUUCUUGACAGGCUUGAUGGGUUUCAUUCUGCCUCUCUCCCUGCAAGUGGAGACCCCAGAAUAACCACAAGGAAUGUAAGCCUUUUUGUUUGAAUUUUUUUAUGUGAAUACCAAGAAUAUGUGAAGCAUUCAUGGCUUAGACAAUCCUGUGUGACAGACAUGCAGAAGUCAGCUGCUGGUUUCUCAAUACAGUGCACUGAUUUUUGCAGUAAUAUAUCACCUCCCCUCCGACAAUGAUUGGGGCCUUGGUGUCAGGUAAAACAAAAAGAGACAAAACUGUGUUGCCUUUAUCAGAAUGCUCAUGUGCUGUGACUAAGGAGAAUGUAUAUAACUACAGGCAGCUGUGCAAGACAACCCAGUAAAUAAAUACUGAAGGGAGAUUAAAGGAGGAUCAUUAAUAUCAUCCUAUUUUCUUUUAGAAUUUACAAAAUAGUAAAAAUUAUAUGGUUGGUGCUAAGCUUGCUCUGAGGGAAGGUACUCACACAAAGACAACUCUCUGGCAAAAUUAUCUUUGAGGCUGUGCAGGUAGAGAAACUCAGGUGCAGCUCCCAAAGAGCUGCUCCUCCCUAAUGAGGAUCAUUGCAACAGGCAAUGGUAUGUGGUAAUGUAUUGCUAAACUGCCUCCUUUUAUUUUCCUCUCUAGGAAAUGCAUAGUUUUCUCAAUAUAAAGGAACUAACUAUUUAUUUUUCAGGUUUUUUAACCAAAUACAGUGUAUACAUAGACCCCUGGAAUGUGCUCUGGAGUUGCUGCUGCUGCAAUCACAGCAGGGAAGGAUUUUGCUGUUCCUGUUGUCAAGUUUGUCUUGUGGCACAUUAUUAGAUAAAGCUGUUUCUUGUUCUUGGAUAUUUUUUUAAUGCACUGGGAAACUUCUGCUCUAGCACCUUUGCCAGUUUUCUUUUUGGAAAUCCAGAUUAAUUUAUUUGAAUGUUUCUUUGCUAUUUCUCAAGAAUUCUUUAUAUUCUUUGUGUCUUUCUCUCUUUCCUGUCAUGAAGUCUUUUCUCCUCAAACCAGUGACCAGCAGAAAGACUAAGAACCUCUUGCCCUUAACCAUCUAAUCCAUUUAGACCAGACUUUUCUCUGCCUGCCUGUCUUGUGAGUUCAAGGCCAGUCAUAACCUUGAUUUCAGAACAAUCCUCAGUGAUGAAAUGGUUCUGGUGCUGAGCAGGGAGCUCAGGCAGAGCUCAGACACCCUACCCUUUCUUCAGACAAGCUUUCAUGCUCCUGCACUUGGAGAUGGAUAAAAUUCCCAGUGUGAAGUACUGAAGUGGUUUCCUUUUCCACGAAUUCACAAUGAAAUGUGGUUGGGUUUGUUUCAGUUUGGUUUUUUAAGUUCCUGUUUUCUCACCUCCCAGAUGUUUCCAAUUGAUUAUCUUCUCAUGUCUUUAAAUUUAACUUGUUUCUAUUUAAUUCUUUACAUAUUCUUUGUUAUUUAACACUUUUGCUAAGACAUGUACUACAUGUACUGAAAUCCAAGAGGAGCAGUUCUGUGGAUGGAGGUAGUAUUUUUCCCCAGUGAAAUUCUCCCUGUCCCUGGUAUACAGGUGUAAGUAGUUUAAUUGCCUUUUCUGUUUGGUUGCUUGGUUGGAGUUUUUUUGUUUGUUUUGCUUUGUUGGAAGGAGGAAGAGGGAGCAGGUAAGGUAGUUGUAAAGCCACAAGAUUUAAUUUUACCUUUUGCUGUUUUGUGACUGUUCCAAGGCUUGUGAGGUACUGAAGGUCUAAAAAAAAAAAAAUUACCAAAAGCCUUUUUAUUCAUAUCAGUGUGUUCUACAAGAGCUGUCUUUCCAUUGUGACAUCCCCUCUUCUGGCCUUGCCUCACUCAUCUACACAACCUGUCACUACCGUGGGCAGUGCUGAAAACUGCAAAUCCCUGGAGGAGAGGGAAUCCCUCUUAUUUGGAAGAAGACUUCUAUUGUCUGGUCUUGCAGUGAGUUUGGAAGUCUCUUGUUGCUUUUGUGAAGGACUUUGCCAUUCGCUGCUUUGUGACACAUCAGUCUGGAUUUCUCAACUCUUUCGCAGUGCAUUGCUGCUUUCCCAGCUGUCCUGACCGACAGAUUAGAUUUGCACUUGCAGUGUCUGAGCGAGCAAGGUGAUCUUUGUAUGCAUGAUGGAAAUCCUUUCUCCUUUCUUGUGACACGUCCGCACAGAGCGUGUGCUUCACGUGGGCAUGUUCAUGCGCAGGCAGCGUGUGUCAUGACUGUGUCUGCAGGUGAUGCUCCUCGGGACACCUGUCCCUGGGCUGCGCUCUCCGUGCUGCUGCAUUCCUGGCUGCUGCUGCUGCUGCUGCUGCCAUCCCUUCUCCAGUGGAGCAACAGUGCCAACUGCUGGCUGAUGCGCCUGGCUUGCCAUCCCUAAGCUUCAUUCUGAGGCCAGUGCUGCCUAAAACACAUCAGUAUCCCCUCUGCUGACCGUCUGGCUGCUUCCAAUAAUAUCUCCGUUUGUUAGUCCUUUUUUCCAUACCAAAAUAAUAUUCUGUUGAGCUCAGGUAAGCCUCAGGUUACCUUUGCUGGUGACAUUUCUAAUUGUUUCAUGUUGGUUUAAAGCUGCAUGUCUCUCCUGAUCUCCCAGGGCUGGCUGCUCGAAAGGGGAGGAGGUUUCUGCUCUGAGCAGUGGAGUGCCAUGAAGUGCUGCCUGAAAGUUCUUUAAUCAUUCAGUCGUGGCAGCAAUUCGCCGGCUAUGUAUUUGGGACACUCUUAUUGUUAUAGCCACAAUGGGUGGGGAAAACAAGAUGGUGAUUUAUGUAUUUCUGCACAGAGUACGCGCUGCACUUUUACUCAGUAAAGAAAAAAAACGUGGAGAGUAAGAAAAGGAGAUAAUCUACUGCUGUACAUAUACUACUGUACAUAGUUUUAUUCAAAUUUCAGUGAAAUGUUUUAAUAGAAAAAAUAGUUUGUGUAUUAUUUUUCUUUUCCCAAGAGGAAUAGCAAAUGGAAAAGACAAGUUUGAUUCUUUAAAUGUUUCCUGUGAGAAGGGGGUUACAAUGUUUGCCGGAGGUGAUGGUAGAGGGAAACAUAUAUGGGGAGCAGGAAACUGGAAAAGAAAAAAGUGUAAAAGGAAACAAUUAAGAGAGCUUUUCAGAAGAAGGAGAAAGACAAUUAACAGAUAAAGCAAAAAACCUGGCAGAGAUGAUCAGGGGAAUUUUGCAGAGGAAAAAAAAAAAAUAAAGCAAGGGAUAGGAGGCAGCCAAACAAACUAAAAGUGAGUUUGAUGAGUCAGGGUUUCUGUGGGUUUUUUGCAUCUCCCAAAAGGCCAUUUUUUCCUUCCUCUCAGCCACACAUGUUCUUAAUUAUUUUUUUUUUUGAGCAGAACACCAAAAGAAAACUAAUAAAUCAACUAUUUUUAAACAUAUGUGACAAGUCCAGGCUGAGGCACAGGUGGACCACAACCACAGGAGGUCUUUUAAAUCAAAGUUGCAGAACUUUGGAUAGCCAGCAGGUUUAGCACUGCUUCCAGCCCUCUGUUACUAUUCCAGUCAUGUAGUGUUUGGGGUUUGGAUAGGGAAAUCUAUACCAGGCAAAAUGAAUAAAUGAAUAAAUAAAUAAAUAAAUAAAUGAUAAUAGAUUUGAUGCUGCCUUGAUAAACAGGACCAUCACAACUCCUCCUGUGCAACUGAAACCUCAGUAAAGAAUUUCUUCUUAUCUAAUCUAAACCCACAUCUUUCAGUAUGUACUGGUCUGUUCCAAUGACAACGUCUUGACUUUUUAUUACUAAUGUAAAUACUUAAGCUGGAUGUAAUGCCAUUAUUUACUAUUUUUUUUAAUUAAACAAAAUAUUUUUUUUCCCAGGAGAUGUGGUUGCAAUUUUCAAGUCUUGCUCUAACCAUGCCCUUAUUUGUUUUACUUUCACACAGACAGGUAUUCUUCUGAAGCAGUUUAUUUCUCUGAAUAAAGGGAGCAGGCUCCAUGCUUUCUUAUCCACGGCAGACCUUUGCCACUGAGAUAACCAGCCUCUUACUAAAAAUAAAUUGUUAUAUGUAUAAUAUAUGAUUAUGUUAUUAGGGAAAAUUAAUGUGAGCAGGGCUGAAAAAGCUGGGCAGACCUGAUAGAGAGAGGAGGAAAGUAGUGUAAAGCAAGAAAGCAAAGAAGUCUAGCUCUGCACACAGAGGUGGGAUGUGAGGCUGGGAAAGGCAGAGGGCUGUCACUCCUUGUACCAGCCAUGGGUUUUCCCAACACUGGGGUGGGAUACCGUGGGGACAGGUGAGGUGGCUGUGUCUUCUGCUGCUACAGGCAGUGGUGCUGGGAGCCACGAUGCCACUAGAUGUCCCUUGUCACCCGAGUGAGGUAGGCAGCUCGUCCCCAUCUCUGCACUUCAUACAUGUGCAGUGUAGUGUUAUAAAGAAGCCUGCUCUUAAAGUGUUAAAUAUGGAGAAAAGUUGAGUCUGUGUAAUUUAAAAAAUAAGUCUUGUAUCAGCCUGUCAUGGAUAGCAAGGAGAAAGUUACUUCCUAAGCCACUUUAAUUUUUAUUGGAAGAUUGGGAGGAUUUUGUUUUGAAGAGGUAUUUAUGGGGCAGUUCAAUAUUUCCUGGGGGAGAAGUCAUGCUAGGAAGUGCUGGUUUGGUGACCAAACACUGUGGUUUCCCUGCUAACACAGGCUUGUCUGGUGCAAGGUGGGGGUCUGCCUGCACCAGCUGAGCUGCUUGGGGGGAAAAGACCUGUGGGAUUUCCUUGUGUCUUCUUAGUGACUCUGCCAUUUUAGGUAUGCUUAGGUAUGUUGCAAAAGGCAACAGGCAGAUAAAAAAGGUCACUUUUGUGAAGAACUCAGCUCUUCCACCUCACUAAUGCAGCCAUACACCCAAAGGCUCAGCAUGCCCCUGCAGAGGGGGGGAAAGGCUGGUGGAAAAGGUAGCAGCUGCUGGGGGAGGUGGACUGGUGUAGUCAUGUAGAGUGAAGGGCAAGAGUGUCUAAUGGGGUGACAGGGAAACCUCCCAAACCUGCUUACACCUGGCCCCUCAAACCUCUUUCCAUACUUCUCAGCCCCUGUGUCACUCAGCACAUGCAGAGCCACAUGGGACUCACACUGCCCAGACACAUGGCUUGUGUUUGUCCCUCCAACCAGCUGUGCUGGUCCUGCCUUGCCAGUGGUGCUCAUGCCUCUCCACACCAGUUUGACAGCUGGGUUUGAAGAGUGGCCUCCAACAACAGGACAGUGGCAAUCUCUUAGCAGUCCUUCAAGAGUUAAUUCCUCCCUGUGCCCUAGGCAUGUGGCUAUGUUUGCUCCACAGUGGAAGCUGUGUUUCCGUAUGUCCCUAUGGCUGGCACCUCGGCGUGGGCAUCUGUGCCGCUCUGCAUGCCUGUGCCCUUGCGAAGGCUCCUCUGGGCUGCAAUGAGCGGCUCCUGCAGCGCCCUGUGUGCCCUCCGCACACACCGUGGCUGUGUGAGCAGUGGGGAGGGAUGCCCCUAAACUGCCUUGGAAGCAGCUACAGGGCUUUACCUGCCCAGGGAGUGUUAUGGACUUUGCUCCAAUGUAAGAAAUAACUGACUGACUGUCACCUGUUUCUCAGGGCGUGCUGCUACCUGCGUGGCUGCACAAACCAAGCUGUUGAGUAUUCAGAGUCAUAUCUGCCUGCCUGAAUGACAGAAAUUAAACAUUUGCUGCUUUCUACUUCAUUAAAAUCCCUGGGAGCCUGUGGGGCUCAUCCUCCUCAUGCACCAAGGUAUCCAUGUGUGCCACUUACCAGUCAGAGGCUUCUUCACCAGUAAUGUCUGAGCAAAUCUCUUGAUAACAAAGGGACUACACACAGAUUAUUGUGAUCAUAAUUUGGCCAACAUAGUCUUUAUUACUAAUGAUGGUGUUGGAGAUGGAAAACCCAGCUUGAUUCUCAGAUCCCUGCUGAAAGGUAAUAAAAUAAAGAGGAACAAAAUCUGUGUGUGAAUUUGCUACCAAACCUUUGAAAAACACAAAAGUGGAACCCUGCCAAUUCUAUUGCUGUCAAUUUUUCAUUUUGAGGUAGGAUUAGAAGUGAAAGUGUAUUUUUUGUCUCUGACAUUAGUAUCAUGUUGUUGUGUACAAAUGGAGGGCUACAAUUAUUUGUUGUAUUGUAAUUAUUAUGUGCUCCUCUUACACCUACAGAGUGAGUAUUUUUUAAUAUCAUCUGAUAAUAGAGUAAUUAGAAAAUAACUUCAGCUAUCAUAAGAAAGAGGUGUCUAUUUUAUUAACACAAAGAACAGACAAAGGAAGCACUUCAAUGGAAUUGCUCUGUUAAAAAUGGAGCUGUGGGUUUUUUUUUGCUUUGUUGAGGAGAUAGAUGAAGGCAGGCUGGCUUUGUGCAGUCUUUUUUUCAUCCCUGGGCAAUGGCGGAACUCGCAGAUAAAUUCUGUUGUCAGAAAAUUCUAUGAUGGUAGCUGAGAAUGAUAUAAUAUCAUGCAUACUCAUUUCAACAACAAGAAAAAAAUUCCUAACCCAUAGCUUGGAUUUUGAAUACCAGAAAAACCCUUCACUACCAAGAAAUGAGCUUUCGGUACUAAGAAUACAGAAAAAGCAACUAAAAAUUUUUACACAUAAGAAGAGCCACUUGAUAUAACCAGUAGCAAAUAAAAGAAGGAAUAUAAAUGUAAUUUUAAAUUAUUUAUUUCACUCUCUCUCUUUUUUUCAUGUUAAUAUAUCCUUGGCUCUAGUUCAGAAUGAUAUGCUAAUUAUGAAUGUAAGAAAACCUAACUUUUUAUUGUGCUAAUUAAACUGUGUGUCACACAGACAUUUGGGGAGAGUUUCCCAAGCUUUCUAGUGUGAAUGGAAGGAAAGAGCAGCAGUGCUUACUUAAAACUGGAAUUUUUUUCCUAGUACCUUGCAAAAAGGCAUUAUUGUAUUUUGAUUACUCCACGCUUGGUCCACCUCGGAUGUUUCUAUGGAAACAGAAUUUUUUUCCUUGAUGGAAAUGGUUAAGCUCAGGAAAACUCCUCACUGCACAAAACCAUUUGAGCUCCUGCAGAACUACUUGUUGGAAAUUUAAUGUGCAUAAACAGAACUCCCAAAUUACUGCUUAGUGUUAUUGUUGUCAAUGCUGAUACAGAACUGUUUUCUUAAUGAUACACAGUGGUGCCUUUUCACUCCACAAGAAAAUAGGGUAAGAGUGGUAUUAUUUCUGUUGCAAGAGAGCACUUUUCCUGGACAAAAAAUAAUUAGCCUGCAAACCAUCCAAAAUUAAAUUUUAUGAAUUCUGAUGUGUGUAUACUUAGUUCUGGAUCCAAAUAUUUUGGCUUGAUAGCUGUUAAAAUUUAAUUAAUUUUGUUUUGCACAUUGGCAAUAAUUUACUCAUAUUAUUCUUGUGUGCCUCAGUUUUGGAUAUGGAGUUUUGUUGGUUUUUGGAGUUUGUUUUGGUUUUGGUUUUUCCUCCCAAAGAAAACACACUCUCUUACUGGAUGCUACUGUGAUAUUUGGAAUACUUUUUGAAAGUCAACCAACAGAGGGAGCAUUUGUGUGUUAUUAUUAAUUUAACCAAAUGGUCGGAAAUAUGACUCUCAUUUUCCCCAUCAUUUCUGGACAGCAUAUUUAUUGUGUAAAAUUAUAGGAUUUCUUGACCAUUAAAAUAUCUUGGUUUGGAGUGUUUCAGUUUUAAAAAAGUCCAAUCUUGAAUUUAGCUGACAGUGCAAGUAGCUAUUUUAAAUAGAUUGUCAGGUUUAUAUUUUUUUGUUUCAUCUCUGUUCAUCAUGGCAAGGAAUCUGCCAAAUGGAAAAAGAAAAUCACUUUGAAAGCAACCACACUUUUCAAACUUCUUCCAGAGACAUACUGAAAACAGAAAUUAAAUGUCAACCAGAGAAAGCAGAAGCCUCAGUAUUUCUUGGUACCUCUUUUAUGUGUUCACUCUUAGAAUGUGAAUAAUAAGGAUGAUGGUGAUGUGCGCAGCAUUGGAAUGUGGAUGAUGAUGAUAAUAAAAACAACAAUUAUACAAAUGUUUUGCACCUGUAUUCUCACAAAAUCCUUC